AGUCAAUAGAUACCCGGGUAGUCCACGCCGUAAACGAUGAAUACUAGGUGUAGGAGGUAUCGACUCCUUCUGUGCCGCAGUUAAACACAAUAAGUAUUCCGCCUGGGGAGUACGGUCGCAAGAUUAAAACUCAAAGGAAUUGACGGGGGCCCGCACAAGCAGCGGAGCAUGUGGUUUAAUUCGAAGCAACGCGAAGAACCUUACCUAGACUUGACAUCUUCUGCAUUAAUCGUAAUGGAUGAAAUCCCUUCGGGGACAGAAUGACAGGUGGUGCAUGGUUGUCGUCAGCUCGUGUCGUGAGAUGUUGGGUUAAAGUCCCGCAACGAGCGCAACCCCUAUUAUUAGUUGCUAACAUUAAGUUGAGCACUCUAGUGAGACUGCCCGGGUUAACCGGGAGGAAGGUGGGGAUGACGUCAAAUCAUCAUGCCCCUUAUGUCUAGGGCUACACACGUGCUACAAUGGUGGGAACAAAGAGAUGCAAUACCGCGAGGUGGAGCUAAACUCAAAACCCCAUCCCAGUUCGGAUUGUAGGCUGAAACUCG
rnacentral:rRNA from 1 species